UACGUAGGGGGCAAGCGUUGUCCGGAAUCAUUGGGCGUAAAGAGCGUGUAGGCGGUUCGAUAAGUCUGCUGUGAAAGUCCAGGGCUCAACCCUGGAAGGCCGGUGGAAACUGUCGGGCUAGAGUCCGGAAGAGGCGAGUGGAAUUCCCGGUGUAGCGGUGAAAUGCGCAGAUAUCGGGAGGAACACCAAUGGCGAAGGCAGCUCGCUGGGACGGUACUGACGCUGAGACGCGAAAGCGUGGGGAGCAAACAGG
rnacentral:rRNA from 1 species